rnacentral:rRNA from 1 species
UACGAAGGGUGCAAGCGUUAUCCGGAUUCAUUGGGUUUAAAGGGUGCGUAGGUGGAAAGAUAAGUCAGUGGUGAAAUCUCCGGGCUCAACUCGGAAACUGCCAUUGAUACUGUUUUUCUUGAGUGUAUAUGAUGUGGGCGGAAUAUGACAUGUAGCGGUGAAAUGCUUAGAUAUGUCAUAGAACACCGAUUGCGAAGGCAGCUCACAAAACUACAACUGACACUGAGGCACGAAAGCGUGGGGAUCAAACAGG